rnacentral:rRNA from 1 species
UUUUACAGGUUGACCUCG